AAUAGGAGAAUGACAAAUCACAUUUUUCAUCUUAAUUUUUAGCUUUUUCCUCCUGAAAAAAUUCAAAUCCAACUAAAAACGCUACAAAUCAGGAGGAAAAAUCUAACUUGUCCUUCUCCUAUU
rfam:Gossypium hirsutum cultivar TM-1 chromosome 3, whole genome shotgun sequence